AUGCCCACUUGACCUUCAAUCAUAUUUUUCAUUUCAUCAUUCUGAUGAAAAUUAGUGGGACACAUGAUGUUUGGUCAUCCCAGCUAAAAGUAAAUCCACUUGCAGACAUAUUUUUCUGGACAAUAUCAUCUUUCAAGUAACAUAACGUGGAAAUAAGCAUCAAUGGCCUCACUAUUCUAAAAAUGAGUGUCGCCUCCGAUAAGUUAGAUUUAUCUUAGCACUGAUAACAGAAAUAGAGGAAAUUUUAUGGGCAUUGGUUUGUUCAAAGAAAAGUUAAGUAUGAAGCUGGUCUGGCUUGACACUUAUGUUGAGAGGGAGAAAUGCAGAGCAGUGGAGAGGAGAGAAGGGGAGAAAGCAAAAAGAUGAGAGAAAAUAAGAGAAACUGAACAGUUGAUUUAGCAAGCAUGUUCUAGUGGCAGUUCCUGGGAGUAACAACUAACCUAUUGUAUAACAGUGAAGUUAGUUAUCUUCUGAACAUCCUCACCUUUCAAGUGCUGCCAUGAUCAUUCUCUUCUCUCUGUUUAAUCUAAUUGAAAAGGAAUGCUGGUGACUCAUUUUUUCACUUUAGAGACCAAGACUUCAAUUAAACUCAGCUAUUCGCAAGUUAAAGGUAAACAGCACAAGCUGUGCUACUAUUAAGCUUCAAUAAAUACAAAUACCAGAUAAGGUUUUAAAAGUGUAUUUAAUGGAAUAUGAUGUCACUAUUAGAUGACUUUCUUUAAAAACAAAGAAAGCAAGAAUGUACCAAAAAAGGAUACUAAAAUGACCAUAGCUGUGAACCUAUGCUUCAUUUAUUGAAUAAUAUUUCUUUGAGAACCUUUAUGUGCCAUCCUAAGAUUCAAAAAUGAAUACCACACAGUGUUUGCCCAGAAAGAGCUUGUAGUAUGGCAGGGAGAGGUAGACCCAGGUAAGUUACAUAGAGGAUGGUUGUUUCUAUCAAAGAGUUCAACAGAGUACUGUUUUGUGAAAUUGAAGCAAUAAGGUUUCUGGCAAAUUGGAAAAUGUUCACCACAGAAGUAAACAUUUCAAUGGAUUUGAAGGAAUGGUAGUUGUUCAUCAAGCCAGAAAUUUUUAAGACUGCAGAGGAAAAGAAUUCUAAACAAAAGAACCAACUGCACAGAGGCAUAGAGGUCUGUGUGUUUUAAAAAACAAUAAAUGAUUGUAUUUGGAUGGGAUUUCAGGUGACACAUACAUGUGGGGCUGUGGUUGGAGAGGAAAUUGAAAAUACAGAAUGAAGCCAUAAUGUAAAGAGCUCUGUGUGCAAAAAGACAUUUAAGUAGAAGAAAGAAUUGAAUAAAUGUGGUAUAGGAUAAAAACUCUGGAAAUCACAGGCAUGAAGCAAGCAAAUCUGAAGAUCAUGAGGUAUAUACGUCACCGUUGCAAUGGUCUACAAUUCUAGCACCAUGGCAAAGUCUGCCAUUUAGCAGACACUAAAUAUUUGUUGAAUAAAUGGAUAGAUGAAUGCACACAGUAAUAUGAACACAAUGAUAUGCACCUAAACUAAUGUACUUACAGAGAGGUUGUAAAUACAAACAUAAAAGCUAUUACAUUCAUAAAGUCCAUCUAUGAAAACUGCCAUACAUCAGGCAAGAAAUCAUGGUGGCUAAAGACAGAAAAUGCUUAUAGAAACAUUAUACUUAACAUAAAACUUAACCAGAGCAAAAUGUAGUCAUUUUUUGUUAUUUGCUUUUAUUUUCUAAACAAAUAAAUUUCAAAUGCACUGCCUUGAAUGUGUAUGGAAUCCUAAAAUUGGUUCAAUUCUAUUGGGAGAUGAGUCACAGCAUCAUUCUUAAAUGGAUGUGACAUUUAAAUUAAAAUCUAUUACUUCAGGUUUGAAUUUUUAAGUGCCUGAAUAACUGUGUUUUUUACAACUAUUCAUAUUAAAGCUUGAUAUUAAUUUCCAAACUGGGAGUAGAUUACACAUUAAAACUUAAGUGAGCUGCAAAAUUUUUAGACUGCUCAAGAGCAAAUAGCUCUAGAAAUAUCAUUACCCCAAAUGCACAUAUAGUCUAGUUAAUUUGAGCAAUUGUCUUCACUUUGGUUGGGUUAGUUUAUGAAGAUACAGCAAUGGAGAAGGAACAAAAGGAGCCAGCAUUAAAUUUCAGACUGGCUAUUAGUAAUGUUAUAGUAAGAAAGACAAAGUAGCAGAAGAGCAGGUCAGGGGUAAUUUUAAUAUGUCAACAUACACAAAGGCUUAUAACAAAAAGAUUCACCCACAAAAGGCAAUAGGUGAAAGAUGGGGAAAAUUCUGUGAUUGGCAACUAACCAUGUUGCAUGCAUUCUAGAAGGCAAGGGUUUUUGAAAGGCAUUUAACUUUAAACCACUCAGUGUUCAUGUGAAUGUCCUCAGCAGGACCAGAAAUGGAGGAUUCAAUUUUCAAAGAUAAUUGUGUCAGAUAACUGUCUCAUGCCUUUUCAGCAAGAAUCUGAUAAACACCUAAUUACUAACCAAGUGAUUUUAGAGCUAUAUAGCUGGGCUGGUAUGCAAGUUACCCAGAAAGACCUGGCCAUUCAGUAUAUCAGGAGGGAAAUGCAGUUGGACUGUAAAUUAAUUUCAUUUAUUUGGCUAAUGAAAUCUUACCAACUAUCCUAUUUUAAACAAAUAAUUUAUUAUGUUAACAAAAGAGCAGAAAUUUCAACAUAAAAUCAAUCAUAGUCACAUAAAUAACUUCUUACCACAACCCAUCCAAAACAAUCUUCUGAAAAUAAAAAUAGUUGCAGUUGGAAUUUGGGUUAUUUUUUUGGGGCAGGCCUUGUACAAUCCUACUGAUGCUAGGUUGUUAUACUGCAAAAAGAAAAAUCUUAAUAUUUCUGGGGGUUUGAAUUUGGUUCAACUCUUUUAAUAAUGAUAUAACCAGGGCAGCCCAAGUGGCUCAGAGGUUUAGCUCCGCCUUCAGCCCAGGACCUGAUCCUGGAGACCCAGGAUCGAGUCCCAUGUCAGACUCGCUGUAAGGAGCCUGCUUCUCCCUCUGCCUGUGUCUCUGCCUCUCUCUCUCUCUUCCUCUGUGUCUCAUGAAUAAAUAAAUAUUUUUUAAAUGAUACAAUCAGAAGUGCAGGACUAUUCAUCUUUAAACAUAUGUGGAUGAACACUUAGCUGGACUCUUAACUACUUCUGAUUGUGAUUCCUAUCAUAUUCAUGGCCAUCCCUCACUAUUCCAUGUUGUCAUAUAUAUUAUAAGGCAUAAAAUUAAGAUCCAACAUUUUUUUCUGUCUUGACACCUGUGAAAUUGGGAUAGUCUCAAAUGGCCUGAGUGGCGCAAUCAGUUGGGCUUCCUACUCUUGGUUUGAACUUGGGUCAUGGUCUUGGGGUCCUGGUACUGAGUCCCAUGUCAGGCUCCGCACCCCCCCCCCAAAAUAUUUCUUCUUUUUAAAUGGCCUAACUUCAUUUGCCUCUCCAUUCCACUCCUGUGGGUAAGAUCCUCUAGCAAAACACUCUCACAAAGGGACAAGACACAGUUCUUAUUUCUCUAUGAGUAUAGGUUUCAUUACACAGCCUGCCCAAGAAAUUUAUUUAAACAAGCCAAUUAACUCUUUUUCCCCCCAAAUGGCAGAGGAGUAGGAGAACUUAGUUUUGUGUGGUCCCAGGAAUUCAGCUAGAUAGCUAUCAAAUCAUUCUGAAUACCUACAAACUCAACCAGAGAUCUAAGAAAAGAAUCGCUGCAACUCUAGAAAUAGAAAGUGACCAAUUUUUGCAAGGUAGGAGGUGCGGAGAAGUGAAUGCGAGGGGAUAUAUGGGAAGACAGACGGGGGGCUAAGGGGGUGGGUAGCCUCUGGCAACUGGCUACCAGAAAGUGACAGAGCAGUGGAGCACAAAAUCAGCAUUUUAAGGAGUCUUGCCUGAAAGACACUCAAGCAGUGAAGCUUUGGGUGGAAUCCUGGGUGGUACCGUGUAGUCUCAGGAUCCUCGGGGGUCACAGGAGGACUGGGGGUACCUAGAGUUCCCAGGCAUCAGAAGAGGAAACUGGCUGUAAUCAGUGAGCCCAGGAGUGGGUUCUCAUCAAUGUUCUGCCCUGAACUGGAAACUGGGGCUGCCAAGACUGCGGAGCAGGGGCCCGGCAAGCAGCAGAACCCGACAUCCCCCUUCCUCCCUGGGGUGGAGCAGCACAGGUGUGCCUCAGGCGGCUGCAGAGUUUAGAGACUUGAAAGGGGGGUCACGUGCCUGAGACAGAAAUGCUUGGUCAUAGGUGGGGUGAGCAUAGGGUGCAGACAGAGUCAGGGGUCACAGAAGUGAUGGACUGUUUCUCCCUGGGGGCGCACUGAGGGGUGGGGCCCCAAGCUUUCAGCUCCCGGCCUGGAGGCUGAGGCUGCAUUUCUAUCCUCAUCCUCUAACGCUGCACAGAAAAGCCUCAGGGAACAAAAGCCACCUAGAGUAAUCAGGGCAGAUCACUCAGCCUGGGCCCUGGCAAGGACCCUGCAAUUCCACCCGUCGGAAGAUCAGCAAAAACAUCUGCUAACACCAA
rnacentral:lncRNA from 1 species